rnacentral:rRNA from 1 species
AAGCCCCAGUAAACGGCGGCCGUAACUAUAACGGUCCUAAGGUAGCGAAAUUCCUUGUCGGGUAAGUUCCGACCCGCACGAAAGGCGUAACGAUUUGGGCACUGUCUCAACAACAGACUCGGUGAAAUUGUAAUACCGGUGAAGAUGCCGGUUACCUGCGACAGGACGGAAAGACCCCAUGGAGCUUUACUGUAGCUUGACAUUGAGUCUCGGUGCUACAUGUACAGGAUAGGUGGGAGACUAUGAAGCAUGGACGUCAGUCUGUGUGGAGUCAUCCUUGGGAUACCACCCUUGUAGUACUGGGAUUCUAACCAGAGGCCAUGAAUCUGGUCUUGGGACACUGUCAGGUGGACAGUUUGACUGGGGCGGUCGCCUCCCAAAAAGUAACGGAGGCGCUCAAAGGUUCUCUCAGUACGGUCGGAAAUCGUACGAAGAGUGUAAAGGCAAAAGAGAGCUUGAUUGCAAGACAUACAGGUCGAGCAAGGACGAAAGUCGGACUUAGUGAUCCGGUGGUUCCGCAUGGAAGGGCCAUCGCUCAACGGAUAAAAGCUACCCUGGGGAUAACAGGCUGAUCUCCCCCAAGAGUCCACAUCGACGGGGAGGUUUGGCACCUCGAUGUCGGCUCAUCACAUCCUGGGGCUGUAGUAGGUCCCAAGGGUUGGGCUGUUCGCCCAUUAAAGUGGUACGCGAGCUGGGUUCAGAACGUCGUGAGACAGUUCGGUCCCUAUCCGUCGCAGGCGUAGGAAAUUUGAGGAGACCUGUCCUUAGUACGAGAGGACCGGGAUGGACGUACCGCUGGUGUACCAGUUGUUCUGCCAAGGGCAUGGCUGGGUAGCUAAGUACGGAAAGGAUAAGCGCUGAAAGCAUCUAAGCGCGAAGCCCACUUCAAGAUAAGAUUUCCCACCGCAAGGUUAAGAUCCCAGGAAGACUACCUGGUUGAUAGGUCAGAGGUGUAAGUGUAGUAAUAUAUUUAGCUUACUGAUACUAAUAGAUCGAGGACUUGACCAA